CGGGUACUUUUGAUCACAUAGUGUAGGUGUCUGGGUACUUUUGAUCACAUAGUGUAGGUGUGCAGGUACUUUUGAUCACAUAUUGUAGGUGUCUGGGUACUUUUGAUCACAUAGUGUAGGUGUGCAAGUACUUUUGAUCACAUAGUGUAGGUGUCCGGGUACUUUUGAUCACACAGUGUAGGUGUCCGGGUACUUUUGAUCACAUAGUGUAGGUGUGCAGGCACUUUUGAUCACAUAGUGUAGGUGUCCGGGUACUUUUGAUCACAUAGUGUAGGUGUCUGGGUACUUUUGAUCACAUAGUGUAGGUGUCCGGGUACUUUUGAUCACAUAGUGUAGGUGUCUGGGUACUUUUGAUCACAUAGUGUAGGUGUGCAGGUACUUUUGAUCACAUAUUGUAGGUGUCUGGGUACUUUUGAUCACAUAGUGUAGGUGUGCAAGUACUUUUGAUCACAUAGUGUAGGUGUCCGGGUACUUUUGAUCACACAGUGUAGGUGUCCGGGUACUUUUGAUCACAUAGUGUAGGUGUGCAGGCACUUUUGAUCACAUAGUGUAGGUGUCCGGGUACUUUUGAUCACAUAGUGUAGGUGUCUGGGUACUUUUGAUCACAUAGUGUAGGUGUGCAGGUACUUUUGAUCACAUAGUGUAGGUGUCCGGGUACUUUUGAUCACAUAGUGUUGGUGUCCAGGUACUUUUGAUCAUGUAGGUGUCCGGGUACUUUUGAUCACACAGUGUACGUGUCCAGGUACUUUUGAUCACAUAGUGUAGGUGUCCGGGUACUUUUGAUCACACAGUGUAGGUGUCCGGGUACUUUUGAUCACAUAGUGUAGGUGUGCAGGCACUUUUGAUCACAUAGUGUAGGUGUCCGGGUACUUUUGAUCACAUAGUGUAGGUGUCUGGGUACUUUUGAUCACAUAGUGUAGGUGUGCAGGUACUUUUGAUCACAUAGUGUAGGUGUCUGGGUACUUUUGAUCACAUAGUGUAGGUGUGCAGGUACUUUUGAUCACAUAGUGUACGUGUCCGGGCACUUUUGAUCAAACUGUAUGAGAACACGGACAGACCCUGCAGAGUAAGCGAUAGCACAGUGCUGGCCGCGGCGUCGCACAGCAACUGCAAACACGCGCUCUCACGCGCCUCGAGCCUGCGCCGAGCGCUGCAAACAGUUAACAAAGCCCAGCCUGGCUGGGUAAGCACAGGCCCCGCCCCGCCGCGCUUUA